AUUGAACGCUGGCGGCGUGCCUAAUACAUGCAAGUAGGACGCAGUUGCGAACGGGUGAGUAACGCGUAGGUAACUACCUAUUAGAGGGGGAUAACUAUUGGAAACGAUAGCUAAUACCGCAUACUAGUAGAUGGACCUGCGUUGUAUUAGCUAGUAGGUAGGGUACUGGCCUACCUAGGCAACGAUACAUAGCCGACCUGAGAGGGUGAGCGGCCACACUGGGACUGAGACACGGCCCAGAAUCCUAAGGGAGGCAGCAGUAGGGAAUAGGCGGCAAUGGGGGGAACGCUGACCGAGCAAAGCCGCGUGAGUGAAGAAGGGUUUCGGAUAGUAAAGCUAUGUUGUGAAGGAAGCGGUACUUAACCAGAAAGGGACGGCUAACAACGUGCCAGCAGCAGCGGUAAUAC
rnacentral:rRNA from 1 species